rnacentral:tRNA from 1 species
GGGGUUGUGGCUCAGUGGUACAGCAUUUGCCUAGCAUGUACAAGGCCCUGGGUUCGAUCCUCAGCACCA